AACGAACGUUGGCGGCAUGGAUUAGGCAUGCAAGUCGAACGAAUGCUAAGUAGCAAUACUUAGCGGAAGUGGCGAAAGGGGCAGUAAUGUAUAGGUAAUCUACCCUGGGGAUGGGCAUAGCCGUUCUAAUGGACGGGUAAUACCCAGCGAUUCGGCGACGAGGCAUCUCGUUGCCGGGAAAUGAAUUUCGCCUCGGGAGGAGCCUAUAUCGUAUUACCUAGUUGGUGGGGUAACGGCCUACCAAGGGGAAGAUGCGUAGCGGGUGUGAGAGCACGAUCCGCGCCACUGGCACUGAGACACUGGCCAGACACCUACGGGUGGCUGCAGUCGAGGAUCUUCGUCAAUGGGCGAAAGCCUGAACGAGCGAUGCCGCGUGUGCGAUGAAGGCCUUCGGGUUGUAAAGCACAAAAGAGGUGAGAAAGGGAAACUUGAUCAAACCUCAGUAAGCUCGGGCUAAGUUCGUGCCAGCAGCCGCGGUAAAAC
rnacentral:rRNA from 1 species